rnacentral:rRNA from 1 species
AUACAGAGGGUGCGAGCGUUAAUCGGAAUUACUGGGCGUAAAGCGUGCGUAGGUGGUCUGUUAAGUCAGGUGUGAAAGCCCUGGGCUCAACCUAGGAACUGCAUUUGAUACUGGCAGACUAGAGUGUGGUAGAGGGUAGUGGAAUUCCCGGUGUAGCGGUGAAAUGCGUAGAUAUCAGGAGGAACAUCAGUGGCGAAGGCGGCUACCUGGACCAACACUGACACUGAGGUACGAAAGCGUGGGGAGCAAACAGGAUUAGAUACCCCGGUAGUCC